rnacentral:rRNA from 1 species
AUUGAACGCUGGCGGCAGGCCUAACACAUGCAAGUCGAGCGCUAGGCGGACGGGUGAGUAAUGUCUGGGAACCUGCCUGCCGGAGGGGGAUAACUACUGGAAACGGUAGCUACUACCGCCUACCCUCCGAUGUGCCCAGAUGGCAGUUGCUGGUGGGUGGGGUAACGGCUCACCUAGGCGACGAUCCCUCGCUGGUCUGCGAGGAUGACCAGCAACACUGGAACUGAGACACGGUCCAGAUCCCUACGGGAGGCAGCAGUGGGGAAUAUUGCACAAGGGGCGCAAGCCUGAUGCAGCCCUGCCGCGGGUGUGAAGAAGGCCUUCGGGUUGUAAAGCACUUUCAGCGGGGAGGCGUUACCCGCAGAAGAAGCACCGGCUAACUCCGUGCCAGCCGCCGCGGUAAUUC